AGUCUCCAUUACAUGAUAAUGAAUCCAAUACAACAGAUAGAGAUGGUAAUUACAAAUCAAUCCAACAUUUUGAGGGCUACCGACCGCUAUGCCAUUGGUGUACCAGAAACAACAAGUUCCAUUUUUCGGUUAACUCAACUCCCAAACCCCAACUCAAUCUCAAUUCCCCAAGGUGUGCCAUGGAGGCAUAUGAGACAUUGCAUUCAACCUACCAAUUAUAAGGUCACUGUAUGAGCUGGAUUCCUAGAAUUCUUAUUCCCUGAACAUGAUUGUUGCUUCAUGAAGUUUCUCAGACUGGUUUUUGUUGCUAACUACACAGAAUUGUCCCUCCUAUGUCUUAAUAGCUAGAAGUUUUUUCCACAGUUAUUGCAAUGAAAAAAGCGAAUCCUUCCCUUUCAACCAUCAAUUCCACAAGAAUUCUGCCGUAAUGGCCAAAUGUUCUUUUUGCCUAGUUGAUUCAUCCACAGCUAUGGGAACCCAUGCCCCACUUGCAAUUUCAAAAAGGGUUUUCACUCUCCAAUACUCUUCUGGCAAAUUAACCAAUCUUAACCAAACCAGCGAAUGAGUGGAUGUAGAUUCUACUUGCAAGGUGAGUCGUUAAUAUAUGAUUAGAUCGAUUGUUCAAAUAAGUAUUACAUUAAUUAAGUUGGCUUCAAUUUAACCCAAUAGAAUAUGAUAUAGACUUAGUCUUUCCAUAAUCAUUGUCUAUAUAGAGCCUAUUAUUUUCCUUGUCAUUAUCAUGAUUGAACAGUGAUUCAUACUAGUUCUUUACAUAACAGAGUUGAGACGAUAUCUGAUAUUCAUUAAUACAAACAGAAUUACAAUACAAAGGAUAACCCACAAAUCACACAUAAUAACACUAAGAUAAUUGCUCUAAACUCCUUACUUAGAGGUCUAACAAACAACUACCUAAGUUUGAAAAACUAAAGAGACGCCAACAUAAUUAUCUCGUUUCUAAAAACAAGACCUUAUUUAGUGCAUAACCAAGACCUUACAGGACACCAAAAUUAUAGAAAUUAAAAGCAUAGGAACAACAUGAAAAGUUUUGGGACCGACAUCGACUAACCUAUAUGAACUAGUUUCCUUUUAUUCACUUGGUGGCAUUUGAUGGGCUUGGCACCCAUAAGACAUGCUUAACAGGGAAGAAAUGACACAAUGGACCUUCCCCAGGCUUCAUUCCAAGUAAGUCAAAUAUAAAAUGAUUAGGAUUCAUGGCAGAUGUGUCUAAGUGGCAAAUUCCCAAAGCA